rnacentral:lncRNA from 1 species
CUCACUGGGCUCUAGUAGCUCACCCCUCUCCCAAAUUCCCCAGGUUUGCAGGUACGGGUUAGACAGAGAAGUCAAGAAGAGUAAUGAAGCCUUAUGCAUGUAAUAGUUAGAAUGUGGACAUGACAGAUUGUAUAAUGAUGUAUAGAUAUGUAAUGUAACGAUAUUAAGAUUAGAAGUGUGCUUGACCAUAGUAUAUUGUAAUCCCUUUUUGAUACAUGAUCUUAAUGUUUAUUGAUGACUAUGUUUAGCCAAC